UUACUAUGUAGCCUGGCUGAGAG
rnacentral:piRNA from 1 species